rnacentral:rRNA from 1 species
UACGAAGGGGGCUAGCGUUGCUCGGAAUCACUGGGCGUAAAGCGCACGUAGGCGGAUUGCUAAGUCAGGGGUGAAAUCCCGGAGCUCAACUCCGGAACUGCCUUUGAUACUGGCGAUCUUGGAGUCCGGGAGAGGUGAGUGGAACUGCGAGUGUAGAGGUGAAAUUCGUAGAUAUUCGCAAGAACACCAGUGGCGAAGGCGGCUCACUGGCCCGGUACUGACGCUGAGGUGCGAAAGCGUGGGGAGCAAACA